rnacentral:rRNA from 1 species
UAGGGAAUCUUCCACAAUGGGCGAAAGCCUGAUGGAGCAACGCCGCGUGUGUGAUGAAGGGUUUCGGCUCGUAAAACACUGUUGUAAGAGAAGAAUGACAUUGAGAGUAACUGUUCAAUGUGUGACGGUAUCUUACCAGAAAGGAACGGCUAAAUACGUGUCAG